CACGUAGGGCGCAAGCGUUGUCCGGAAUUAUUGGGCGUAAAGAGCUCGUAGGUGGUUUGCUACGUCCGCUGUGAAAACCUAGGGCUUAACCCUGGGCUUGCAGUGGAUACGGGCAGACUAGAGGUAGGUAGGGGAGAAUGGAAUUCCCGGUGUAGCGGUGAAAUGCGCAGAUAUCGGGAGGAACACCGGUGGCGAAGGCGGUUCUCUGGGCCUUACCUGACACUGAGGAGCGAAAGCGUGGGGAGCGAACAGG
rnacentral:rRNA from 1 species